rnacentral:misc_RNA from 1 species
GUUCCGUAGGUGAACCUGCGGAAGGAUCAUUAUUGUGUAACCGAGGUGCGAGGGCUGUCGCUGACCCGAAAGGUCGUGCACGCCCGAGUGCCCUCACACACAUCCACCUCACCCCUAUGUGCACCACCGCGUGGGUCCCCCUUUGGCUUGUUCGGAGGGGGGCUUACGUUUUCACACAAACUUUGUAUGCAGUGUAGAAUGUAUUUUUUGUUUUUGCGAUCACGCAAUCAAUACAACUUUCAACAACGGAUCUCUUGGCUCUC